rnacentral:lncRNA from 1 species
UGUACGAACCCACAAGUUAUGAUCCCUACAUAUUUCAGACUGAGUGAAGCCGAGAAGGAUUGCAAACACCAGUGAGAAAGGGCUGGGAGACAACAGUGACGGAGAAGAGGAGCAGGCUUUCAGGCGAUAAGGCCUCCUGGGAGGAGGGAAGAAUGCACCGAAGCAUGCACUGACGAAAGUUUCUAUCCAAAGACCCAGAGCCACGUGGCUCUUCAUGGAAUGGGGCUGUAUCCUGGCUCAACAACCACAGCAUUUUCACACUUAACAAAAGAAAAGGU